GGCAGCCCAAAUGGCCUCACCACCCGAGGGGUGCUGAAUAGUUGCUGUCAUUUCAAAAGCGCCAACACGGGCUUUGCAUGCAUCCUCAUGCUAUCCCCUCCCUCUGAGGGGAUAUCUUCCGUCAUCUUCCCAAUUUACAGAGGCAACAGGUUGAGUGGGAAACCCAAUAAGCUUUCAAAGCCUGGCCAGCCCUCCAGAGGGCAGUCUAUCCCUCUGUGAUGUGCCUCUGACGU
rnacentral:lncRNA from 1 species